UAUCCAAAACGCCAAAGGCUUAAACAAGAGAGAAGUUUAUUUCUCUCUCAUGCAAAUGGAGUCUGGCGGUAGGGCGCCCAGAACUGGUGAAGUGUCUUUUCUGGUUGCUCCACAUCCUCAACAUGUGGCUUCCACUCCGUUGUCCAAGGCUGUUGCUCAUGGUCAAGCCAUCCUGUUCACAUUCCAGGCAGCAGGAAGGAGAAAGAAGGGAAGAACUGCAUGUUCCUUCCAUUGAGGAUACUUCCUGGAAAUUGCACCUUAGACUUCUGACAAUUCAUUGGCUAGAAUUUAGUCAUGUGACCAUAUCUAGUUGCAAAGGGUCCUGGGAGAUUGUAGGAUGCCACGCGCCCAUUAGGAAAUGCUACACUAAGGAAGCGGGGAAGGAUGGACACGGGAUGCCACUAGCAGUUUUUACCAUAGUAAUAUGUUAGUUGUAGAAGAGCACGUACGUAUACUUACAAAGAAAUAAAUGUACUAGUUGGGUGCAUAAUCAAGAUUGGGGCUUUUGGGGUGAAGUUUAAAGACCACUGCUGUGGAUUAUAGUACUCUAGAAGUGCAUAUAAUUAAUCGAAAGAAGGAAUAGAGGUUUUUUCUUUUCUCAACCAAGUAAAUUUGAAGCUCAGUUGCCUUCAUUCAACGACUCAUGAAUCAGGCAGCAUCCCGUCUAGCAACUAGAAAGGCAUCCCCAAGGGAUUUUUUUUUUUUUUUUUCUUUUUAACCGUCUGGCAUACAUUCAUCCUUCUCCUGGUAAAGCAGUAUGGAGAGUUUUAUGUCGGGACUCACCCUUCCCCCACUCUAAGCGAUGCCGUUGUGAGGGAGCCCUAAUUAGUCUUAGCUAAUCAACUCCUCCCAUCCACUUGACCACUGGGAUUAGUGUAGGUUACCGAUUCGACUCUUAGAAAGGAGACACUGGACAGAAAGUUAAGAGCACCUGAAGUUGGAAGCUGCCCAAAUCCUCCUGCAACCGUGAUGGGAGAGCUUAUGUGAGACUGCAGCCAGUGUCCAGAAGAGAAGGAAGCCACGCUGAGAGAGGAUGGGGUCCUGGUGAUACCAUUUAAGGUCCUGUAUCAAGCUGCACCUGAACACAGCAUGCAUUGUGAUGAGGAGCCAUUUUGGACCAGAGUUCCUCCAUAGUUUCUGGACAUCUGAUGCUAUAGCUGCAAGCACACCACUGAGUUUGCCAGCCAAGAACCUUCUUAAAACAAGGCCCCUGAAACUGAACAUGGAACUUCAGGCAAGCUCUGGCAGACCAGGGAGAGCACGCACAGUCCCAACACGGCCUUACAACCAGGUCAUGACUCACUGAAGUGAUUUCAAAACUCACUGGUGGUUCCUGACCCACAUUUUGGAGAACAUUAAAGUCAGAGGGUACAUAAGCUACUGUGAUAUAAUGAAAAGCAUAAUGUGGUAAGUGUCAUAAAAGACAAACAAAGUGCUGUCAUAGGAGAGAAUGAUCACGUUGAGUUUGGGGAAACAGGGAAGCUUUCAUGGAAGGGCUGGGCCUUGAAAAAAUAGCUACAUUUUCAGCAAGAGAAGGGAGUUUAAGGAAUGACCAGAGGAAAGGCAAGAUGGUAGGAAGUCAGAUAAAUGCCAAAACCAGUGGGUAAACCUGGGCAGAUGUUGACGUGUGUGGUUUAGAGGGUAGUGAGAAGUGAGGUGUGACUUGGGUUAGGUCACAUGCAGCCUUGACGGCAGGCAGAUGGGAGGCCAUAUGAAGGCCUUUGGGAAGGGCUGGGUGUGAGGAAGUCUAAAUAGGUGGCAGUUGCAAGUUGGGUUGAGUCUGAGUCAUAUCAGAAGCUCAAACUGGAACUUGAGGCAAAUGAGAAGGGCCUCUGCCCUAGGAGCUCAGCUUCUACUCCAUCACAUCUUUUUUGCCUACAGAGUCACUGCAAACCCAUUAUACACAGGGGCAUCCUCUAUCUGUGAGCUGCUUUUUAGUGGUGACCAAAGAGUGAACUGGUCUUUCUAAAAAUGCUGCCUGGCAGCCCCCAGUGUAAACCGACAGUGCUGAUGUGGUGCUUCAGUGCAGUGAAGCCAACAGAGUGAACAAGAGUGACCAAUCUGCAAUUUCAGAAAGGCCAGCAACCCCCAACUUCUCAUUCUUCCUCUUGCACCCACCUGCCUGCCUUCUGAUGAGUUCACAUGCUGUUAGAUCCAGCCCUAAAAGGUGGGCUGAGCCUUGCUACUUGGCACCUCUAAUGAAAACAAAAAAAUUCAGUGGAGGAGGAUUUGGAAUUGCUGGUUAAAUUGGGUGUUUGUGCUAUCCGUGGAUUUUCAUCACCCGUGUCAUUCCUCCCCUACUCUCUCCCUGAAAACCGAGACCUGACCCUCAUGAUGGAAAUUAAUCAAAACUAACCUGUGACUUCUCUUUUAUUAUACCUGUAGACAUGAGGGAUUGGCAAAUCAGAGUAGACUUCUACUGGGAACCCAAAUACUGGAGAAUAGAACCCGAUUUUGAUCAAUCUUAGAUGGGGUCAAGUUCACUCUUACCCUCGCCCCUCAAAUUAGCGAUAGUUUCUUAAUAUUUAAGACUGAAUGAUCAGAUUUCUGGAGCACUGUUUCUGUCCUGACAGUUGAUACUCUUCGUGGUUUGAG